UUUGCAACACAAACAUAGGAGCCCCCAUGCUGCUCUCUGAAAUUUACAGCGUAUUUUCUUUUUACUCAAGCAUAUUGAAGCAGAACAGAAGAAAGGAUCAAAGGAAAAUAAAAGAGCCUGGGAACAUGCAUUGCUACUUAAGAAUUGGAGUGACUAGCUGGCUUAAGGAGUGGGCAGACACUUUUCUGCAGCUGAAGAGAUCUAAUCCUUGCCCUUCAGUCAGGGAGGCUUGGUUUCCCUAUAGAUUGAAAAUGCUGAGGCUAAAACCGUGUGGAUCCAGCACCUCCUCGGGUGGACAGGACCAGGUCACAGCACCCCGAGGAGAGAUGGGACUGACAAGGAGGGGCUGCUCCUGCUGUAGGCAAGGCAGGGAUGGAGGGAGCCUGGAUCCUGCACCCUCCUGCUACCCUGUGCCUUGGAGAAUCCUGAAGAAAGCAGAGGAGGCUGUGUCUGAUUCGAAUGCAAGAAUCAUGAAGCCUGGAUUACUCAAACAAAUUUUGGGGCAGUCUGCUGACUUUAAAUGCUUCCUGGAAAGACUUUGUGAAAAAUGGGCAGCCAAGCAGGAGAAACUGGCCUUUGGAUGGAUGAAAGAAUAAAUCCAGUCUCCUCAAUUUCAUUCAUGAGGACUCAUGAGCAGAGCAAGGAAUCAGGAAAGCAUCUUAACAAAUGAGACAGGUCCUAGUUAUGAAAGAGUAUAGUCCUCUGCCUCUUUCUGCCCCUCUACAAACCCUUCCUUGCUUUCUGAAGGAUGGAGAGCCCCCAUGGGAGAGGGGUCCAGCAGGAUGCAGUGGGGGAUGCUGUUUGUACCCCACUAUUUGCUCUCCUCUUCCUUAUUUUCUGCUGUUUGCAAAGUAGGGCUGAGUUGGCUUUGCUGAUAAAGGAACCUUCCCAGACACAAAGAAGAGAGAGGAACAAUU
rnacentral:lncRNA from 1 species